rnacentral:rRNA from 1 species
AGUGAACGCUGGCGGUAGGCCUAACACAUGCAAGUCGAACGGCAGCACAGUAAGAGCUUGCUCUUACGGGUGGCGAGUGGCGGACGGGUGAGGAAUACAUCGGAAUCUACUUUUUCGUGGGGGAUAACGUAGGGAAACUUACGCUAAUACCGCAUACGACCUACGGGUGAAAGCAGGGGAUCUUCGGACCUUGCGCGAUUGAAUGAGCCGAUGUCGGAUUAGCUAGUUGGCGGGGUAAAGGCCCACCAAGGCGACGAUCCGUAGCGGGUCUGAGAGGAUGAUCAGCCACACUGGAACUGAGACACGGUCCAGACUCCUACGGGAGGCAGCAGUGGGGAAUAUUCGACAAUGGGCGCAAGCCUGAUCCAGCCAUACCGCGUGAGUGAAGAAGGCCUUCGGGUUGUAAAGCCCUUUUGUUGGGAAAGAAAAGCAGCGGGUUAAUACCCCGCUGUUCUGACGGUACCCAAAGAAUAAGCACCGGCUAACUUCGUG